rnacentral:rRNA from 1 species
CCUACGGGGGGCAGCAGUGGGGAAUAUUGGACAAUGGGCGAAAGCCUGAUCCAGCCAUGCCGCGUGUGUGAAGAAGGCCUUCGGGUUGUAAAGCACUUUCAGUGGGGAAGAAAGCCUUGGGGCUAAUACCCUCGAGGAAGGACAUCACCCACAGAAGAAGCACCGGCUAACUCCGUGCCAGCAGCCGCGGUAAUACGGAGGGUGCGAGCGUUAAUCGGAAUUACUGGGCGUAAAGCGCGCGUAGGCGGUCUGAUAAGCCGGUUGUGAAAGCCCCGGGCUCAACCUGGGAACGGCAUCCGGAACUGUCAGGCUAGAGUGCAGGAGAGGAAGGUAGAAUUCCCGGUGUAGCGGUGAAAUGCGUAGAGAUCGGGAGGAAUACCAGUGGCGAAGGCGGCCUUCUGGACUGACACUGACGCUGAGGUGCGAAAGCGUGGGUAGCAAACAGGAGUAGAUACCCGAGUAGU